rnacentral:rRNA from 1 species
GGCUCAGAUUGAACGCUGGCGGCAGGCCUAACACAUGCAAGUCGAGCGGUAGAGAGAAGCUUGCUUCUCUUGAGAGCGGCGGACGGGUGAGUAAUACCUAGGAAUCUGCCUGAUAGUGGGGGAUAACGUUCGGAAACGGACGCUAAUACCGCAUACGUCCUACGGGAGAAAGCAGGGGACCUUCGGGCCUUGCGCUAUCAGAUGAGCCUAGGUCGGAUUAGCUAGUUGGUGAGGUAAUGGCUCACCAAGGCUACGAUCCGUAACUGGUCUGAGAGGAUGAUCAGUCACACUGGAACUGAGACACGGUCCAGACUCCUACGGGAGGCAGCAGUGGGGAAUAUUGGACAAUGGGCGAAAGCCUGAUCCAGCCAUGCCGCGUGUGUGAAGAAGGUCUUCGGAUUGUAAAGCACUUUAAGUUGGGAGGAAGG